GUUUAGAAGUUUUUAACUGGCUCAGGAUGAACGCUGGCGGUAUGCUUAACACAUGCAAGUCGAACGGUCUUUUCGGAGAUAGUGGCGGACGGGUGAGUAACGCGUGAGAAUCUGCCUUCAGGUCGGGGACAACCACUGGAAACGGUGGCUAAUACCGGAUAAGCCGAGAGGUGAAAGGCUAGCUGCCUGAAGAUGAGCUCGCGUCUGAUUAGCUAGUUGGUAGGGUAAGAGCCUACCAAGGCGACGAUCAGUAGCUGGUCUGAGAGGAUGACCAGCCACACUGGGACUGAGACACGGCCCAGACUCCUACGGGAGGCAGCAGUGGGGAAUUUUCCGCAAUGGGCGAAAGCCUGACGGAGCAAUACCGCGUGAGGGAGGAAGGCUCUUGGGUUGUAAACCUCUUUUCUCAGGGAAGAAAAUUGACGGUACCUGAGGAAUAAGCAUCGGCUAACUCCGUGCCAGCAGCCGCGGUAAUACGGAGGAUGCAAGCGUUAUCCGGAAUGAUUGGGCGUAAAGGGUCUGCAGGUGGCCGUGUAAGUCUGCUGUUAAAGAAUCUGGCUUAACCAGAUAAAAGCAGUGGAAACUACAGGGCUAGAGUGCGUUCGGGGUAGAGGGAAUUCCUGGUGUAGCGGUGAAAUGCGUAGAUAUCAGGAAGAACACCAGUGGCGAAAGCGCUCUACUAGGCCGCAACUGACACUGAGGGACGAAAGCUAGGGGAGCGAAUGGGAUUAGAUACCCCAGUAGUCCUAGCCGUAAACGAUGAACAGCACAU
rnacentral:rRNA from 1 species